CAAACUACUAUGUAUAAAAUAAGCUACAAGGAUAUAUUGUACAACAUAGGAAAUAUUGCCAAUAUUUCAUAAUAACUAUACAUGGAAUAUAAUCUUUAAAAAUUGUGAAUCACUAUGUUGUAUAACUACAUCAACUAUACCUAAAUUUAAAAAGAAAAACAAAAUGAUAAAACUAUGACCCACUGAUUUAAUUUGUCUCAGUCAUAAACAAAGGAGGGAGGGGAAAAGCUUUAUGUUUAUAAAAGGUGGAUGAGUUUUAGAAGAAUCAUUGUUUUCUAUAAUACCUACAUCACAAUAUUUACCUACUUGCUUAAUUAAGUUUCAACUGCAAUCACAUUGUCUGCUUAAACCUGGUUUUUACGUUUUGUCCAUUUUAGCAAUAUCCUUAGUCUCCCUUUUUCCUACCAGCUUUUUUUUUUUUUUUCCUGCUUUUAAGGUUUCAAAGUUCUCUAUUCUCUUAAGAAAACAAGACAAAACAAAAAUAAGACUUUUGGGGUUUCCUUGGUGGCGCAGUGGUUAAGAAUCCACCUGUCAAUGCAGGGGACAUGGGUUCAAGCCCUGGUCCAGGAAGAUCCCACAUGCCGCGGAACAACUAAGCCCGUGCACCACAACUACUGAGCCUGCACUCUAGAGCCCAUGAGCCACAGCUACUGAGCCCAUGAGCCACAACUACUGAGCCCGUGAACUACAACUACUGAAGCCUGCGCACCUAGAGCCCAUGCUCUGCAACAAGAGAAGCCACCACAAAGAGAAUACCAUGCACUGCAACAGAGUAGCCCCCACUCACUGCAACUAGAGAAAGCCUGCGCACAGCAAUGAAGACCCAAUGUAGCCAAAACUAAAUAAAUAAAUAAAUUAAUUUAAAAAAAAAAAGACUUUCUCUGAUCCCACUGCCUCUCUGGAUAUCUUCCCAAUUUCUUCUAUUGUCUAAUUUCUCAAAUCAAUGCCUACCUUUAUUGCUGCCUUUUGAGUCAAACCACUCUCUUCUUAACCAUCCUGCAAUCUGACUUUGGUAUCCACAGCCAUAUUGAAAGUGUUUUCUUUUUUUCUUAAACAAUCUUUACCCCUCUCUCAUUUCUGAAAUUGUGUUUCAUUCCUUGUUUUUUAAGAUUUUUUUUUUUUUUUUUUUUUUGCUAUCUCAUACCCAAUUUGUUCUCAGAAGGGAGGAGGAGAGGGAGGUGAGAUUUUUGCCCCCAGGGCAUCUUUGGCAAUGUCUGGAGAUAUCUGUGCUCAUCACAACUGCGAGGGAGUGUCCUGACCUUGACCAAUUAGAGGCCAAGGAUGCUGCUGAACAUCCUGCAAUGCACAGGAUGGGCCCUCACAACAAGGUAUCCUAUAGUCCAAAAUGUCAGCAUUGCCAGGGUUGUGAAACCCUGCCAUACCCAGUGGCAAAGUGCCUUCAGGGGCAUUUGAAAAUGUGAGGAACAAUAGGCAUCAUUUUGGUGGUUACAAUGACUGAAUGACUGAGGAGAGCCAUUGGCAUUUAUCCUGGGAGCUAAGGAUGCAAAACAUCCUGCAGGGCACUACAGUCUCACGCAAAACACUGCAAUCCAGUUGUACCUCUACUUGCCUUCUCUAUUUCCUUUAGUGUUUUCCCCUCUCACCAACUUAUUGUGUUAUUCAAGCCCUUAGUUUCUCUCUCUACCUCUGAGAGCUCCUCCUACCUCUUGAUUUCCCCCUCCUGUAAUCACCUAGCAAUGAUAUUGGUAAGCCUGGAUGUCUGUGACAACAACAAUAUUUUGGCAGUCAAGCUAAAAACUUGGAGCUAUCUUUCCACACCUGAAAGAUGCCAUUUUAUUAUUUUCUGGCCUUCAUUGUUUCUAAUGAUGUUAUCCGUUAUUUGUAAUUGUGUCCACUGAAUAUAAUGUGUCCUUUUUCUCUGGAUGCCUUUAAGAUUUGCCUUCAUCUUUGGCUUAACUAUGAUGUGCCUAGGUGUGGAUUUCUUUGUAUUUAUUCUGUUUUAUGUUAGUUGAGUUUAGGAUCUGUGAAUUGGUAUCAUUCAUCAUUUUGGAAUGUUCUUGACAUUAUCUCUUCACACAUUUUUUUUGCCCCAUUCUGUCUGUCCACUGUUUCUGGGAAUCAAAUUUUAUAUAUAUUAAACUAUAUUAUGAUAUUGUCACAGAGAUCUCAGAUGCUCUGCUCUUUCACAUCCUCCCACUCCCUUUGCAUUUCAAAGCUAAUUUCUUCCAAAAACACCCUCACAGACACAUCCAGAAAUUGUGUUGUACUAGCUAUCUGGGCAACCCUUACCCCAGUCAAGCUGACACGUAAACCAUCACAGCACCACUAGACCCUGAACCAUGCAUCUUGUGUCUCCAAGACCAUCAAAUCUGAUACUGGAUACUGCCUUUGGAAACUCUGUAUGGUUGUCCCUGGUGCCUCCCUUCGCCAGAGUGGACUCAGCAUAGUACUCAGUUAUUCAUGCAACAAAUAUUUACUGAGCAUCUACCAUAUGCCAGGCCCUCUUCUAGGGGCUGUAGAAACACCAAUAAGCAACCAAGAUGCCUGUCUUUGGAAACAUAUCUUCUAACUGGGUAACCAAGUUGUCCAGUUUUCCUGGACUCCCCCAGUUUUAGCACUAAAAGUCCCACAUCCCAGAAAACCCUUCAGUUCAAUGGACAUCUAGAGGAAGAGCAUUUUAGGCAAAGGGAAGAGCAAUGACCUUGAGGUGAGUGGGGCCCUCACCUCAUGUUAUUAGACGGAUAGCAAGGACCACUGUGUGGCUAUAGUGGAUUGAGAGAGAUUUAGGCCAGUUAAUAACAUCUCCAAAUUUUCUCCAAAGUUUCUUCAUUAGUAAUUUGGUAAAAAGAGACAAUGUUUUGCUAGUGCCUGGGAAGGAUCAAAAGAUCAGUGUAUUCAAUCGUACAGAUGGCUCUUUGAAGAGAUCAGACAUAUAACUCAGGGAUCCCCUUGGCCACCUCACCAGAAGCCAGGAACAGAUUUGGGAUUAUCCAGGAAGGAUCUGUGGAGAAACUUCUUAUCUAAUGGAGUGCAUCUCUGUGAAAGAAGAGACCCACAAUGUUGUUGAGAAUGUUAUACCAUCAGAAACACUGCCAACCUGGACUGAAAGGGGAAGAGAAAGGACAAAAUGAAAGAAGGUUGUCACUCCUCCAAUUCUACAGUCAGGAAACUGGUUAAUAAAACUUCUAUCCUAAAAGUAUGUGUUACUUUCAUGAAAAAGGAAGGAUGACCCUAGUGCAGAGCAGUGAGCCCAGAGGGUAGAGUUAUUUUUCAGAAUGCUGAGGAAAUACCCAAGUUGUAACAGUGUUUUAAAAAAUGAAAACAAGAUAUAGAUACAGCUUUAAGGUAGAGAAACACUUUCAGCUUUAACUAGAAAAGAUAAAUUAUAUUUUAUAUCAUAAAAUCUGCAAACCAAAGUUCUCAAAUUUGAUGAUAUAGUAAUAAAUUGUAUUUUAUUAAAAACACUUUUAUUUCUUCCUUUAUAGUUCAAUGUGUAAAAUAUUUUUUAUCUAAAGCAUAAAAAGCUGUCUAGUUAAUAUUCUACUUUUAUUUAAUAAACAAAACAUUUACUCAUUCAUUUAUUUAAUUAAAAGAACACAUACUUUUCAGGUUUCAGUGGAGUACUGGUAACUAGUCAUCUUUAGUUUAACUGGGUAGGAUAUAAACCUUGUCUUGUAGGAAUGAAUACUUCCUGAAACUAUGAAGCUGACCCUAGGACCAAGAGAACUAACAAGAAGUCUUGUCCACUUUGGUUAUAACCUUAGGCUGAAUGAUUUUAAAGUAGCUUUAAAAUGAUUCCUGAGAAAUGUUCUGCAAAAGAAGACAUCCCAAGCUCUGCCAGAGAAAAGCAGGAUUGAGGAGUAUCAAAGAAAAGGGGGGAUUGAAAAUGAGCAGGACCCUCCGGGACCCUCCAAGAAACCAAGAUCUGGCCCAGGUGGAGCGGUGACUAUAUGCUGACCACAAGCAUGUAGACCCCAGACUGGUUGAAACCAGAAGGUAGAUGACUGAAACUCUUGAAACACCACCCCGCUACCUUACCACCAACCAAUUAGAGGAAAGUCAUGUUCACUACAGCCAUCACUCCAACUGUUGCCUUUAAAAACCCUUCCCUGAAAGCCAUCAGGGAGUUCAAGUCUUUUGAGCAUGAGCUUCUUGUACUCCUUGCUGGGCCCUGCAAUAAACACUGUACUUUCCUUUACCACAACCUGGUGUCAGUAAAUUGAGUUUGCUCUGCCAUGGGUGAGUGGACCCAAGUUCAGUUUGGUAACAGUAGCCAAAAUAAAAACCUGGAAGUCCAAGUCCAAAUCAGUUGGCCAAAUAAGAGAUCAAAGACAAAACGGAGGUGUGCCUCUAUAAAGAGGGGUCAAAGA